rnacentral:rRNA from 1 species
UACGUAGGGCGCAAGCGUUAUCCGGAAUUAUUGGGCGUAAAGAGCUCGUAGGCGGCCUGUCGCGUCGACCGUGAAAACCCGCAGCUCAACUGCGGGCUUGCGGUCGAUACGGGCAGGCUCGAGUUCGGUAGGGGAGACUGGAAUUCCUGGUGUAGCGGUGAAAUGCGCAGAUAUCAGGAGGAACACCGGUGGCGAAGGCGGGUCUCUGGGCCGAUACUGACGCUGAGGAGCGAAAGCGUGGGGAGCGAACAGG